AAUGAACGCUGGCGGCGCGCCUAAUACAUGCAAGUCGAGCGAGAAGACGUAGCAAUACGUUUGUAAAGCGGCGAACGGGUGAGGAAUACAUGGGUAACCUACCCUCGAGUGGGGAAUAACUAGCCGAAAGGUUAGCUAAUACCGCGUACGCUUCUUGGACUUCGGUUCAGGGAGGAAAGCGAUACCGUGGGUAUCGCGCUCUUGGAUGGGCUCAUGUCCUAUCAGCUUGUUGGUGAGGUAACGGCUCACCAAGGCUUCGACGGGUAGCUGGUCUGAGAGGACGAUCAGCCACACUGGCACUGCGACACGGGCCAGACUCCUACGGGAGGCAGCAGUAAGGAAUAUUGCGCAAUGGGCGAAAGCCUGACGCAGCGACGCCGCGUGGGGGAUGAAGGUCUUCGGAUUGUAAACCCCUUUCGGGAGGGAAGAUGGGACGAGCAAUCGUUCGGACGGUACCUCC
rnacentral:rRNA from 1 species